rnacentral:rRNA from 1 species
ACGUAGGAUGCGAGCGUUGUCCGGAUUUAUUGGGCGUAAAGAGUUCGUAGGCGGUUCGUUAAGUCUGGUGUUAAAGAUCAAGGCUCAACCUUGGGAUGGCAUUGGAUACUGGCGGACUUGAGUGCAGUAGAGGCGAGUGGAAUUCUCAGUGUAGCGGUGAAAUGCGUAGAUAUUGGGAAGAACACCGGUGGCGCAGGCGACUCGCUGGGCUGUAACUGACGCUGAGGAACGAAAGCUAGGGGAGCAAAUGGGAUUAGAUACCCCAGUAGUCCUAGCUGUAAACGAUGGAUACUAGGCGUUGCAGGUAUCGACCCCUGCAGUGCCGUAGCUAACGCGAUAAGUAUCCCGCCUGAGUAGUACGGCCGCAAGGUUG